rnacentral:rRNA from 1 species
GAAGCUGGAAUUGCUAGUAAUGGCAGGUCAGCAUACUGCCGUGAAUACGUUCCCGGGCCUUGUACACACCGCCCGUCACACCAUGAGAGUUGGAAAUACCCGAAGCCUGUGAGCUAACUGUAAAGAGGCAGCAGUCGAAGGUAGAGCCAAUGAGUUGGGGUGAAGUCGUAACAAGGUAAC